UUCAGCCUGUCCUGGCACCCCUUCUCUGUUUCAGCCAGAAGAUGCAAUUUUCUCAAGCUUUCCCUGAUAGUGUGAUCGUUCUUUAGCUCAUUUCUUUCUAAAAUGGGCCAGCUUAUUCUAAGCAGUUUGAAGUGUGAUUCCAUGGCAAUUUCAGGUGAUCUCAAUCCCAACUUCUUUCUCGCCCCCUCCUCCCAUUCCCAGGCCCGUGUUCCCAUCUCUUUUCCUGUGCUGGCAUUGCCAACGAGGCUGCUUUUGGCUCUACAGAGGAGGACACAGUAAACAACUAAGAAAGUCGGUUUUGGGAUUGAGUACCUCCAUCGGGAAGAGCAGUGAUGAGCAGAGCAUGACUUGAGAUGCAGAAGAGAACAGCCUGGAGCUGGAGAGCCAGGCUGGGAGGAAGGAAGCUGACAUCAACUAAGAUUAAAUUUGCUUGGGUUUGCCUGGAAAGCAACCCGGUAUUUAGUAAAGAAAGUCUUUGCUCCUGCUUCCUUUUCAACCAUCUCAGCACCUUAAAGAGGGCAACAUACUUUAAAAGGAUGUACUGUAUCUUUGCCGGUCUCCGCUAAAGUGAGCGGUGGAUAUAUGAGUGUUACAGGUUCGCCUGUGAGAGACUUCUGGACACUGGCAUUCUUUUAAAUGGGAUUGGUUUCUAAGUCAUGUAUGGCUCUCUCUCAGGAGCAUGGGUGCCAUAUGUGAUAAACACAGCUACAAAACGAGCAUCCCAGAUAUUCGUCCUUGAAGCUGAAUUUUCAGAGCUGAAGGAAUAGUUUGAAGCUGAAGUGUGGUCUUCCAGGCUGGUUUUGAGAAUUACAGAACCUAAACCAUGGCUUAUGCGUGUCACUUCUUGCCUUGAAAAAU